GGUCACUGCCUGUGAAAUGAGUUGAUAUUUACAGCAGGACCCUGUAAGGGACUGUCCCAGGACAUCUGUAGGUGACAGUCUCAGGAUGCUGUAGGUGACAGUCUCAGGGGUGCUGUAGGUGACAGUCUCAGGAUGCUGUAGGUGACAGUCUCAGG